CCUACGGGUGGCUGCAGUGGGGAAUAUUGCACAAUGGGGGAAACCCUGAUGCAGCGACGCCGCGUGAGUGAAGCAGUAUUUUGGUAUGUAAAGCCCUAUCAGCAGGGAAGAAAUAAAGACCUUCGGACUUUGGACGGUACCUGACUAAUAAGCCCCGGCUAACUACGUGCCAGCAGCCGCGGUAAUACGUAGGGGGCAAGCGUUAUCCGGAUUUACCGGGGGUAAAGGGAGCGUAGACGGCAGCGCAAGUCUGGAGUGAAAUCCCAUGGCUUAACCAUGGAACGGCUUUUGAAACUGUGCAGGUAGAGUGCAGGAGGGGGAAGCGGAAUUCCUGGUGUAGCGGUGAAAUGCGUAGAUAUUAGGAGGAACACCAGUGGCGAAGGCGGGUUACUGGACUUUAACUGACGUUGAGGCACGAAAGCGUGGGGAGCGAACGGGAUUAGAUACCCGAGUAGUC
rnacentral:rRNA from 1 species